rnacentral:rRNA from 1 species
GACGAACGCUGGCGGCGUGCCUAAUACAUGCAAGUCGAGCGAACAGACGAGGAGCUUGCUCCUCUCACGUUUGCCGCGCACGGGUGAGUAACGCGUGGAUCACCUACCUAUCAGACUGGGAUAUCCUCGGAAAACCGGAGCUUAUACCGUAUAAUCUAUUGAACCGCAGUGUUGAUUAGUGAAAGACGGUGUUUCUGUAUCUUAUAGCUGCAUACGCGCCGCUUUAGCUAGUUGGGAAGGUAACGGCCUACCAAGGGGACGAUGCGUAGCCGACGUGAGAGGGUGAUCGGCCACACUGGAACUGAGACGCGGUCCAGACGACUACGAGAGGCAGCAGUAGGGAAUGUGCCGCAAUGGGCGAAAGCCUGACGGAGCAACGCCGCGUGAGUGAUGAAGAUCUUCGGAUCGUGAAACUCUGUUAUUAGGGAAGAACAAAUGUGGAAGUUACUAUACCCGUCGUGACGGUAACGAAUCAGAAAGCCACGGCUAACUACGUG